UUGAUUUUGACUUUUAUCCUACAUGGAUAACUGUGGUAAUUCUGGAGCUAAUACAUGCAUAAAAGAUGUUUCUUUAUUGAAACAUUGCGUAUAUUAGUAUUAAAACCAAGCAUUCUUCGGAAUGUUUUGUGUUGAAACUGAAUAUAUCUGCUGAUCGUAUGGUCUUGUACCGACGACAUGUCAUUCAAGUGUCUGAUCUAUCAACUUUCUAUAUAAGUAUAUAGUACUUAUAUGGUUUUGACGGAUAACGGGGUAUUAGGGUACGACUCCGGAGAAAAUGCCUGAGAAACGGCGUUUACAUCCAAGGAAGGCAGCAGGCGCGAAAAUUACCCACUCUCAGUACGAGGAGGUAGUGACGAGAAAUGACAAGAUCUAUUCCUUCGGGGAUGGAUCAUUGGAAUGGUUUGAUUUUAAAAUCAUUAAAGAGUAUCAAUGAGAGGGCAAGUCUGGUGCCAGCAGCCGCGGUAAUUCCAGCUCUCAUACUGCAUUGAAUUGUUGUUGCGGUUAAAAAGCUCGUAGUUGGAUCUGUACAUGAUAGGUUAGUUUAUUCUUUACGGAAUAUAACUAAUACUAAAUGUUUUUUGUUAGAUUUUUUUAUGGUUCGUAAGGAUCAUAAAAUGUCUAACGAGUUUACUUUGAAUAAAUCAGAGUGCUCAAAACAGGCGUAAGCUUGUAUGGUUUUGCAUGGAAUAAUAGAACAUGACUAUGGUUCAUGUUUUAUUGGUUUUACUUACCAUAGUAAUGAUUAAAAGGAACAAACGGGGGCAUCCGUAUCGCAGGGCGAGAGGUGAAAUUCGUGGACCCUUGCGAGACGAACUACAGCGAAAGCAUUUGCCAAGAAUG
rnacentral:rRNA from 1 species